GUGGAGACAAAAAGUUAAUCAUCACAGUACUUACUGUCUGGAGCUGUUAGAGUCUAUGAAUUUUGCUCAGUACACAAAAGAAAGCACUGAUUUGGGGAGCUAUCAUCACCAAUCCAGAGACUGCCGCCCAGGUGGAAGGAGAUAAAAGUUUGCUUAAUGAGCAUCUUGUGGAAUCAUGUAAGAGCACUCGGAGGAUUUGAACAAUAUGGAAGGCGAGGACAGGACGCUGGAGAUAGGAAUGUGUGCAGGCCGAGACGGGUGAAGUGGAAACUUUCCUUUCUCCAGUUUUAGAAACAAUAGAUAAUAAUGACCUCUUGUGACUCUACAAGGCAACAGUGCCCCAGGACAGAAGGGCAGCCGACUUGAUUGGUGAACCACAGGUAUGUCUUGGUACUGCUGGACUUCAAUUAUAAAUUAAAAAGUAUAGUAAUCAUUGUCUGAGACAAACACGGUAACUAGGAAAUAAAGCCUCUUGGGAAUAAAGAUCUGAGUUACCGCUCCAGACAAGCCACCUGGACCAUCUGCAGAGACAGCCACAUCUUUUCAUGCAGUGCAGCCUUGUCCUUCAGACAUGAUGGUGACGGUCGGAGGGAACAAAUUUGGCCGUAUUGGAUGCUGGGUUGCCAGUUCUGUCUUUAGCUCUAAUAAAGUAAAGGUUGUGGCUAUCAGUGACCCCUCACUGACCUCAGCUACAUGGUCUACAUGUUCUAGUAUGACUCGACCCAUGACAAGUUCAACAACACAGACGAGGCUGAGAAUGGGAAGCUUGUUCCCAAUGGGAAAGUCAUCUUUAUCUUCCAGGAGUGAGAUCCUGCUAACAUCAAAUGGGGUGAUGCUGGUGCUGAGUAUGUUGUGUCUACUCGUGUCUUUACCACCAUGGAGAAGGCCAGGGACCACUUGAAGUGUGGAGCCAAAGGGUUAUCAUCUUUGCCCCUUCUGGCCAUACUCCCAUGUUUGUGAUGGGUAUGAAGCAUGAGAAGUUUGACAACUCCCUUAAGAUUGUCAGCAAUGGUUCCUGCACCACCAACUGCUUAGAACGCCUGGCCAAGGUCAUCCAUGACAACUGUGGCAUCAUGGAAGGACUCAUGACCACAGUCUAUGCCAUCACUUCUAUCCUGAAGACUGUAGGUGGUUCCUUUGGAAUGCUCUGGUGUGACAGCUACAGGGCUGCCCAGAGCAUUAUCCCUGCAUCCAGUGGUGCUGCCAAGGCUAUGGGCAAGGUCAUCCCAGAGCUGAAUAAGAAGCUCACUGGCAUGACCUUCCAUGUUCCUAUCCCCCCAAGGUAUCUGUUGAAGAUCUAACAUGCCAACUGGAGAAUCCUGCAAAGUAUGAUGACAUCAAGAAUGUGGUGAAGAAAACAUCUAAGGGCCCACUAAAGGGCAUCCUAGGCCACACUGAGGACCAGAUUUUCUCCUGAGACUUUAACAGUGAUGACCACUCUUCUACCUUUGAUACUGGAGUGGGCAUUACUCUUAAUGACAACUUUGUAAAUCUCAUUUCCUGGAAUAACAAUGAAUAUGGCUACAGCAACAGGGUGGUGGAUCUCAAUGGCCUACAUGAUCUCCAAGGAGUAAGAAGCCCUGGACCACCCACCCCAGCGGGAACACGAGAGCAAGAGAGAGGCUCUUGCUGUUGAGGAGUCCCUGUCUGAAUUCAGCAUGUCCUUCACAGUUUCCAUCCCAGACCCCCAAAAUAACGGGAGGGACCCAGGAAGCCCUACUGUCUUGUAUACCAUCAAUAAAGCACACUGCACUCCACCCAUCCCCCCAAAAAGAAGUUAAGUAAAGGAGGGAAGAUGUUAUAUGUAAAUGAUAUAAAUGUAUAACCUUAGUUGCA